UACGUAGGGUGCGAGCGUUAAUCGGAAUUACUGGGCGUAAAGCGUGCGCAGGCGGUUGUGUAAGACAGGUGUGAAAUCCCCGGGCUUAACCUGGGAACUGCGCUUGUGACUGCACAGCUAGAGUAUGGCAGAGGGGGGUGGAAUUCCACGUGUAGCAGUGAAAUGCGUAGAGAUGUGGAGGAACACCGAUGGCGAAGGCAGCCCCCUGGGCCAAUACUGACGCUCAUGCACGAAAGCGUGGGGAG
rnacentral:rRNA from 1 species